rnacentral:rRNA from 1 species
GCUGGAUAUGAAAGUGGCGCACGGGUGCGUAACGCGUAUGCAACCUACCUUUAUCUGGGGGAUAGCCCGGAGAAAUCCGGAUUAAUACCGCAUAAAAUCACAGGAUGGCAUUAUCCAAUGAUCAAACAUUUAUGGGAUGAAGAUGGGCAUGCGUGUCAUUAGCUAGUUGGCGGGGUAACGGCCCACCAAGGCGACGAUGACUAGGGGAUCUGAGAGGAUGGCCCCCCACACUGGUACUGAGACACGGACCAGACUCCUACGGGAGGCAGCAGUAAGGAAUAUUGGUCAAUGGAGGCAACUCUGAACCAGCCAUGCCGCGUGCAGGAAGACUGCCCUAUGGGUUGUAAACUGCUUUUAUCCGGGAAUAAACCUGAGUACGUGUACUCAGCUGAAUGUACCGGAAGAAUAAGGAUCGGCUAACUCCGUGCCAGCAGCCGCGGUAAUACGGAGGAUCCAAGCGUUAUCCGGAUUUAUUGGGUUUAAAGGGUGCGUAGGCGGCCUGUUAAGUCAGGGGUGAAAGACGGUAGCUCAACUAUCGCAGUGCCCUUGAUACUGAUGGGCUUGAAUGGACUAGAGGUAGGCGGAAUGAGACAAGUAGCGGUGAAAUGCAUAGAUAUGUCUCAGAACACCGAUUGCGAAGGCAGCUUACUAUGGUCUUAUUGACGCUGAGGCACGAAAGCGUGGGGAUCAAACAGGAUUAGAUACCCUGGUAGUCCACGCCCUAAACGAUGAACACUCGCUGUUGGCGAUACACAGUCAGC